GACGAACCGUGCAAACGUUAUUCGGAAUCACUGGGCUUAAAGGGCGCGUAGGCGGCUUACCAAGUCAGGGGUGAAAUUUUGCGGCUUAACCGUAACAGUGCCUUUGAUACUGGUAGGCUCGAGGGAGACAGGGGUCCGCGGAACUUCUGGUGGAGCGGUGAAAUGCGUUGAUAUCAGAAGGAACGCCGGUGGCGAAAGCGGCGGACUGGAUCUUUUCUGACGCUGAGGCGCGAAAGCUAGGGGAGCAAACGGG
rnacentral:rRNA from 1 species